UAUCCUUCUGCCCGUGCGCCUCCUCGCUGUUCGCUCCAGCCUCCGGAAGCAUCGCGCCGCCGCUGUUGGUGCGCCGCCGCAACCCGCACGGCGCCACGAGCGGCGCCGCUGGCCGCGGCGAGCCGGCGACGACCUUGUGCCACGGCCACACCACACCCACGAGGCCACGACGACCACGCCCGCGGUGAUUUCCAGUUUUCACGCCGGCGGCGGCGACUCACGAGCAUGGCAACAGGGCGACGACCUGUCAUCCGGACUGAACGGAGAUGUACUCCACUAAUCCUCAAUUCCUCCGUCAAGUUCAUUUAGGAGCUCGUGAUGGAGAUGCUUGGCUUGCCGAUGCAUGUCAUGUGCCUCUUUGCUGAUUGGAAACAGAAAGAGCGAAAAGUGCAAUUGCAAGAUGAUUUCAACGUCCUUUCCAAGCUGUGGAUGUUUUUUCGAAUUUUAAUAUGCAUUUUAUUUAUUAUUACGGAAUUGCUCAAAUGUAUCCACAUAUCGGGUUGCUUAGAAAAUGGCCGUAUCCGUAUGGACA